UAUUUUUGGAAUAAGGGAUUGGGGGAGGUGAAGAAAAAAAUUGGGAGGGGUGGGGGUAAAAAUUUUCUCAUUUCAGAUUUCAGAAAUUAAAAAGAAUUUUUCUUUAAAUAUUUUUUUUGGAGGGGAUUUAGAUUCAACAGCAUAGUGUAUUGCUCAAAAGCCAAAUUUUUUUUUAAAGUUCAUUAGACCACAUUCAUUCUGUGUUAGAAACCUUUGCUGUGUCAAUUAUUUAAUCACAAUCCAAAUUCAGAGCUGUAUUAAAGCUUGAAUGUUGUGUCCAUACUUGCCCCAACUGCGCACUGCGGAGCAUCUGGUUUUAAUUUUAGCCAUGAUUAUGAUGUAAUUUUCUAUUUUAAUACUUUUAUGAUGUAUUUAAAUGGGCUUUUAUGGUUACAAAUUCCAUUGGAAAG
rnacentral:lncRNA from 1 species